UACGGAGGGUGCGAGCGUUGUCCGGAAUCAUUGGGCGUAAAGGGCGCGUAGGUGGCCCGGUAAGCGUGCGGUGAAAGUUCGGGGCUCAACCCUGAAUCUGCCGCGGCGACUGUAGGGCUAGGACACCGUAGAGGCAGAUGGAAUUCCGGGUGUAGCGGUGGAAUGCGUAGAGAUCCGGAAGAACACCGGUGGCGAAGGCGGUCUGCUGGGCGGUGAACUCGCAAGAGUUCAAUAGCCGACACUGAGGCGCGACAGCGUGGGGAAGCAAACAGG
rnacentral:rRNA from 1 species